CGCCGAAGCACAAAAAAACUUGCUACUGUUUAUCUAACAGAUGUAGAAGCUCUUAAUAUACGUUGAGUUUGGCUAUCUCUGACUGCAGGAAGUGUCGUCCAACUGAGGACACUUGGGAUGCUAAUGGAAAGAACUGAACACCUCGCGCACGAGCACCCUGAGCGAAACCUGUGAGCUCUAUUAUAGGUUUCCAUCAGUCCCCAGUUUUAAAUAAACCGAGCGGACGCAGUACGCCAUUCGCACAGGAAGCUUCAAGGAGCAGGUUAAAAAUAAUGUUUUAUUUAUUUUUUGAUCAAGAAUGUCUCUUUGAAAAUAUAUAAAUCAAGUCUUUAUUGAAUAGGAAUAUUGAAGCUAAUAAAUUAAGCAAUUGUUAAAUUGAAAUGUAAAAUUAAAGUUAAAUGGAAUGUGAAUUUCUACUGUUUCAGUUACGCAAAACAGACUGUUAGGAUAUGGAACGAAGAAUAAAUAAUUAAAAACA